rnacentral:lncRNA from 1 species
CCGUGGGUGGAUGCGAUGGACAGAGAAGAAAUUUAAGCCCGUCACUGCAGUGGCUGGAGAGAGUCAGGUUGGAAUUGCGACCAUCAAAAAACCCACAAAAUGACAAAAGCUUGUGAGGAGGCCAGCGGCUUGUUUAUGUAUUGCUGGUGAGAACAGAAGGUAGUAAAAGCACUAUGGAGAGAGACCAGUCUGAGUCUUCAAAC